rnacentral:tRNA from 1 species
AGUUGUGUGGAGAAGUUUGGUUGUUCUCGCUUGAUUUGGGAUCAAGAGUACGCAGGUUCAAAUCCUGUCACAACUA